GACGAACCGUGCGAACGUUGUUCGGAAUCACUGGGCUUAAAGGGCGCGUAGGCGGGCGGUCAAGUCUGUGGUGAAAGCCCCCAGCUCAACUGGGGAAGUGCCUCUGAUACUGACGGCCUCGAGGGAGGUAGGGGCGUGCGGAACUUCCGGUGGAGCGGUGAAAUGCGUAGAUAUCGGAAGGAACACCGGUGGCGAAAGCGGCGCGCUGGACCUCUUCUGACGCUGAGGCGCGAAAGCCAGGGGAGCAAACGGG
rnacentral:rRNA from 1 species